rnacentral:rRNA from 1 species
AUUGAACGCUGGCGGCAUGCCUAACACAUGCAAGUCGAACGGCAGCACGACCUAGCUUGCUAGGUUGGUGGCGAGUGGCGCACGGGUGAGUAAUGCGUAGGAAUAUACCUUAAAGUGGGGGACAACCUGGGGAAACUCAGGCUAAUACCGCAUGAGCUCUAAGGAGGAAAGCUGGGGACCUUUCGGGGCCUGGCGCUUUAAGAAUAGCUUACGUCCGAUUAGUUAGUUGGUGGGGUAAAGGCUUACCAAGACGAUGAUCGGUAGCUGGUCUGAGAGGAUGAUCAGCCACACUGGGACUGAGACACGGCCCAGACUCCUACGGGAGGCAGCAGUGGGGAAUAUUGGACAAUGGGGGAAACCCUGAUCCAGCGAUGCCGCGUGUGUGAAGAAGGCCUGCGGGUUGUAAAGCACUUUCGGUGGGGAGGAGGACUUAUAGGUUAAGAGCUAAUGAGUUGGACGUUACCCACAUAAGAAGCACCGGCUAACUCCGUGCCAGCCGCCGCAGUAA